rnacentral:rRNA from 1 species
GACGAACGCUGGCGGCGUGCUUAACACAUGCAAGUCGAACGGUAAGGCUCCAGCUUGCUGGGGUACACGAGUGGCGAACGGGUGAGUAACACGUGGGUGACCUGCCCUGCACUUCGGGAUAAGCCUGGGAAACUGGGUCUAAUACCGGAUAGGACCGCACCGUGAGGGUGUGGUGGAAAGUUUUUUCGGUGUGGGAUGGGCCCGCGGCCUAUCAGCUUGUUGGUGGGGUAAUGGCCUACCAAGGCGGCGACGGGUAGCCGGCCUGAGAGGGUGGACGGCCACAUUGGGACUGAGACACGGCCCAGACUCCUACGGGAGGCAGCAGUGGGGAAUAUUGCACAAUGGGCGGAAGCCUGAUGCAGCGACGCCGCGUGGGGGAUGACGGCCUUCGGGUUGUAAACUCCUUUCACCAUCGACGAAGGGUUUCUGACGGUAGAUGGAGAAGAAGCACCGGCUAACUACGUGCCAGCAGCCGCGGUAAUACGUAGGGUGCGAGCGUUGUCCGGAAUUACUGGGCGUAAAGAGCUCGUAGGUGGUUUGUCGCGUCGUCUGUGAAAUUCCGGGGCUUAACUCCGGGCGUGCAGGCGAUACGGGCAUAACUUGAGUACUGUAGGGGAGACUGGAAUUCCUGGUGUAGCGGUGAAAUGCGCAGAUAUCAGGAGGAACACCGGUGGCGAAGGCGGGUCUCUGGGCAGUAACUGACGCUGAGGAGCGAAAGCAUGGGGAGCGAACAGGAUUAGAUACCCUGGUAGUCCAUGCCCGUAAACGGUGGGCGCUAGGUGUGGGUUUCCUUCCACGGGAUCCGCGCCGUAGCUAACGCAUUAAGCGCCCCCGCCUGGGGAGUACGGCCGCAAGGCUAAAACUCAAAGGAAUUGACGGGGGCCCGCACAAGCGGCGGAGCAUGUGGAUUAAUUCGAUGCAACGCGAAGAACCUUACCUGGGCUUGACAUAUACAGGAUCGCGCCAGAGAUGGUGUUUCCCUUGUGGCUUGUAUACAGGUGGUGCAUGGUUGUCGUCAGCUCGUGUCGUGAGAUGUUGGGUUAAGUCCCGCAACGAGCGCAACCCUUGUCUUAUGUUGCCAGCACGUUGUGGUGGGGACUCGUAAGAAACUGCCGGGGUUAACUCGGAGGAAGGUGGGGAUGACGUCAAAUCAUCAUGCCCCUUAUGUCCAGGGCUUCACACAUGCUACAAUGGUCGGUACAGUGGGUUGCCAGUCCGUGAGGGCGAGCUAAUCCCGCAAAGCCGGUCUCAGUUCGGAUCGGGGUCUGCAACUCGACCCCGAGAAGUCGGAGUCGCUAGUAAUCGCAGAUUAGCAACGCUGCGGUGAAUAAGUUCCCGGGCCU